GCGCGGUUAGCUCAGUGGUAGAGCACUACCUUGACACGGUAGGGGUCGCAGGUUCGAACCCUGCAUCGCGCACCA
rnacentral:tRNA from 2 species